UACGAAGGGGACUAGCGUUGUUCGGAAUCACUGGGCGUAAAGGGCGCGUAGGCGGCCGUUCAAGUCGGGGGUGAAAGCCUGUGGCUCAACCACAGAAUUGCCUUCGAUACUGGACGGCUCGAGACCGGAAGAGGUCAGUGGAACUGCGAGUGUAGAGGUGAAAUUCGUAGAUAUUCGCAAGAACACCAGUGGCGAAGGCGGCUGACUGGUCCGGUUCUGAUGCUGAGGCGCGAAAGCGUGGGGAGCAAACGGG
rnacentral:rRNA from 1 species